AUUAAAGGAGCCUGAAGUAAAGAUGCAAGAACAUGUCUUGGGAAAGAUCAGACCAUCUAGUUGCAGGAAAGCAAGCUCAGGGCUCCCACUGAUUCUGCAUGAUGGUCAGGAGUCCAGAUACACCUUAGUUGGGUUUUCUACUUUGGGGUCUCUCCAGGCUACAGUGAAGGUGUUGGUUGGACCAUGUUCCCAUCUGAAAGCCUGAAGAAAGAAGAAUCUUCUUCCAAACUCUCUCAAGUUGUUGGGAGAAUUCAUUUCCUUACAGUCACAGGACUGAGAGCUUCAAGAUUUUGUUUUGUUUUGUUUCUGUUGGCUCUCAGCUUCUACAAGCCACCUCUGAGUUCUUUGCCACAUGGUCCUCUCCGAUAGGCAGUUCAUAACAUGACAACUUGUUUCUUCAAGACCAGCAGGAAAGUGAGAGAGUGAGUCGGCUAUCAAGACAGAUUCUUACAUAAUAUAACAUAAUCAUGGGAGUGAUAUCCCAUCACAUUUGUCAUAUAUUGUAAUGCAUGUAUUACAUUACAUCAUGGGAGUAACAUCCUAUCACCUUUGCCUUAUUCUUCUGGCUGGAAGCAGUUCACAAGUUCUACCCAGUCUUACGGUGAGGGGCAUAAAGAAGGUCAUUAAUACCAGAAGGCAGAGAUCAUUGGGGGUUACCUUAGGAUAUGUCUGCCACAUUGGGGGAAGGCAGACAAUUCUAGGUAGCUAUUCAAAGAUCCAGAGAAAUGAGCCUGAGUUACCUACAACAAUGUUCAGAUUGAUUAAUGUAUUCUUGAGUUAGCUUUCCUUCCUUUCAUGUCUUAAUUUUCCUAGCCCCUCACUCCUAUUCACUGGGAUCUCUUCCCAAAAUCAACUAUCCGCACAGAAGUUAUUGUCUCAGACUCCGAUUUCAGGGAAGAAGCCAGGCUAAGAUAGCAGAAGAGAAUAAACUUGUAUAAAUGGUAUGCUACAAGUUAGGAGGGAUGGUAGGCAGGAGGUUCUCCUCCUCAGAAAUUAAUUACCCCCUACCCAUAUAUUUCUCUACACUAUAAUGAGGCAGUGCUAAAAGUUCAUGGAAGAAAGCAUGCUAAAGGUGCUUUCUCUAUGCAAAUCUCAAGAUACAGCAUCUUAACUCUCUCUUUCAUAAAAUUAGAAUUGGCCCAAGAUACUAAAUUGGGCUAGGCUGGCAAGUGGGGUUCAAGUAGUUUCCAUUGUAGGGAGAGAAAUUUAAUAAGUGUAAACCUGGCAGAGCUCAAAAAAGAGCAACAGAAGUACUUGAAUACAAGGGAUAAAACUAUUAAAGAACAUUUUUCACAAAUAA
rnacentral:lncRNA from 1 species